AAGUCUGGUGAGUUUUCUUUGAUGGUUUCCUUGAUUUUUGUAUCCAAAUACUUUUUAAAGUUCCAUAAAAUGGCAACAAUCCUGAGACUGCUGUGUUAUGAACACAGAAAACCCAUAGAACCCAUGUGGGUCAGUGGGCUUGCCACAGAACAAAGAUGCAGGACCCAAUGAAUGUUUCUCAGUUACAUUUACUUACUAUAUACAACAUAGGUCACUAGCCAUGGUACUGACUGUGGGCUGAUGACACUGUUGGAUGAAAAAGGAACUUUCAAGAUAUCAGUUUCUCAAAAGUUUACUAACAUCAACAAGGAGAUUUCAUUCCUUGAAUACUCUUCAUUUCUAAAGAUAAUUAACCUUUGCAAUUAUUUUCAUAAAGAUCCAAGCACUAUUUGGUAACCUAGCAACACAAAGGAGGCCAGCCUAGGGAUGGACCCAUGUCCUUGAUAAAUCAGAACCAAAUUAUUAUUCUAGCUUUUGAAUGCCAGAAGCUAUGGAAAUCCUGAACCGUAUUAUGCAAUGGAACAAGGACAUUGUAGAUAGUGAGAAUGUGAGUCCCCACUUCAGAUCCACACCAGGAAUGUCAAUCUCCCCCACUCAUUUGGGAACACAGUCACUCAGACAGCAUUUCUAGCAUUAACUCAUUUGGCAGAUAGUUGUUAGGCCCCCUUCAUGGCAUUGUGUCCAAGUGUCCAAUCCUUUUCAUCCUGGUUCAGUGAAUAGACUUCUGGACAUUUAAGUCAGGAAGAAUGGGGUUCAAACCCAGAGGCUAAUACUUGCCAGUUAUUUGAUCAUGAGCAAUAUUCUCAGCCUCUGUGUACUUCAGACUGGAAAGAGGACUAUCUGCCAUCAGUGAACCUACAUUCAUAUCUAAGCUCUGCCACUUAAACCUAUGUGAUCAUGGACAAGACAGCUCAUACCUAUUGAUCUAGACAUUCUAGAAAGUGAUUUGGUUCCAUACUCAGAAAAUUACCAAGUCAAUGUCUACUUUCUGACCAUAAAUGCCACUGUUAAUCUUGUACUACCAAGGAAAUCAAAGAGAGAAAGUAUCUAUAGGUAUAAAAUUUACAAUUCUUUUCGAUGAUAGUCAAAACUUGGACAUUAAUGGUCUACCCUCCCAUUGUGGAAUCAACAAACAAAUUGUAGUACAAUCGUACUUGAUACUUGAGCACCUUAAGUGAGGAGCAAUUCAAGAUGCUUACAUUCAGGAUCAGGAUUUUUUGCUUUAAGUCACAAGUAGAUAUUUGAAUCAUGAGUUUCUGCCCUUGGGAGGAGCCGGAGGGAGGAGUCUGAAGUGGAUGAGGUAAUCAGUACAAGUGAGAUUAAGGAAAUGUUGAGAAUUUGGGGAAAAAUUAAACAGUUUAUUGAAAAGACACACUCAGAAAAAGUUGCAACAGGUCAUGUGUUAGGGCUGUGUAAUGACAUUUAUUUCAGACAUUGUCAGAAGCUUCUGAAAGGGAAGAGGAAACAAACUUCCAUGGAAAGGUUUUUGUUGAAAUGGCCUCUAAGUAAAAUCCAGGAAAGUGUGGCAAAACAGUUAAAAAUUCAAUAAAGAAGAUGAUGAUAAUUAAGUAAAGUUUAAAAAUAGCAAUUAAGUUUAGCAAUAAAGUUAUAUAUCAUAAGUAA